GAUGAACGCUAGCUACAGGCUUAACACAUGCAAGUCGCAUGGUAACAUGAGGAAAGCUUGCUUUCCUUGAUGACGACUGGCGCACGGGUGAGUAACGCGUAUCCAACUUUCUCUUAACUACGGGAUAACUCGUGGAACUACGGCUAAAUACCGUAAGACAUCGUUUGCUAACGUCAAGUAACGUUUUAAGGUUUAGGGUUGAAGGAUCGGGUUGCGUCUGAUUAGCUUGUUGGCGGGGUAACGGCCCACCGAGGCGACGCUCAGUAGGGGUUCUGAGAGGAAGGUACCCCGCAUUGGAACUGAGACACGGUCCAAACUCGUACGGGAGGCAGGAGUAAGGAAUAUAGGUCCAUGGGCGAGAGCCUGACCCUGCCAAGUAGCAUGCAGGAUGACGGACGUAUGGGUUGUAAACUGCUUUUAUGUGGGGGUAAAAUGCGAGUCGUGUCAUGCAUUGCAGGUACCCCAUGAAUAAGGACCGGCUAAUUCCGUG
rnacentral:rRNA from 1 species